UCCUUUGGUAGUUCAGUGGUAAAAUGUUUGCUCUUCUACAUAAAAUGCCUAGGUUUAAAUCCUGGUAGGGUAA